rnacentral:rRNA from 1 species
GACGAACGCUGGCGGCGUGCUUAACACAUGCAAGUCGAACGAUGAAGCCCAGCUUGCUGGGUGGAUUAGUGGCGAACGGGUGAGUAACACGUGGGCAACCUGCCCCAAACUCUGGGAUAACUCCUCGAAAGAGGUGCUAAUACCGGAUACGAACUAGGUAGACAUCUGCACUAGUUGGAAAGUUUUUCGGUUUGGGAUGGGCCCGCGGCCUAUCAGCUUGUUGGUGAGGUAACGGCUCACCAAGGCUACGACGGGUAACCGGCCUGAGAGGGCGCCCGGUCACACUGGGACUGAGACACGGGCCAGACUACUACGGGAGGCAGCAGUAGGGAAUAUUGCGCGAUGGGCGAAAGCCUGACGCAGCGACGCCGCGUGAGGGAUGAAGGUCUUCGGAUCGUAAACCUCUUUCAGUAGGGACGAAGCGAAAGUGACGGUACCUAAAGAAGAAGCACCGGCUAACUACGUGCCAGCCGCCGCAGUAA